GUCGACGCUUUGUGGUUCAACUGAUUUGAAGAGCUUGCUCAGAUAUGACGAUGGACAUUGCAAAGAGUGGCGAACGGGUGAGUAACACGUGGGAAACCUACCUCUUAGCAGGGGAUAACAUUUGGAAACAGAUGCUAAUACCGUAUAACAAUGACAACCGCAUGGUUGUUAUUUAAAAGAUGGUUCUGCUAUCACUAAGAGAUGGUCCCGCGGUGCAUUAGCUAGUUGGUAAGGUAAUGGCUUACCAAGGCGAUGAUGCAUAGCCGAGUUGAGAGACUGAUCGGCCACAAUGGGACUGAGACACGGCCCAUACUCCUACGGGAGGCAGCAGUAGGGAAUCUUCCACAAUGGGCGAAAGCCUGAUGGAGCAACGCCGCGUGUGUGAUGAAGGGUUUCGGCUCGUAAAACACUGUUGUAAGAGAAGAAUGACAUUGAGAGUAACUGUUCAAUGUGUGACGGUAUCUUACCAGAAAGGAACGGCUAAAUACGUGCCAGCAGCCGCGGUAAUACGUAUGUUCCAAGCGUUAUCCGGAUUUAUUGGGCGUAAAGCGAGCGCAGACGGUUAUUUAAGUCUGAAGUGAAAGCCCUCAGCUCAACUGAGGAAUUGCUUUGGAAACUGGAUGACUUGAGUGCAGUAGAGGAAAGUGGAACUCCAUGUGUAGCGGUGAAAUGCGUAGAUAUAUGGAAGAACACCAGUGGCGAAGGCGGCUUUCUGGACUGUAACUGACGUUGAGGCUCGAAAGUGUGGGUAGCAAACAGGAUUAGAUACCCUGGUAGUCCACACCGUAAACGAUGAGUGC
rnacentral:rRNA from 1 species